UGGACCUAUAGUUUAGUUGGAUAAAAUACUCCCCUGUCACGGGAGAGAGCGCGAGUUCGAUCCUCGCUAGGUCCGCCAA
rnacentral:tRNA from 2 species